AGGGUGUAAACGCUGCAGACUUGGUGUUGGAGGCCCUUUGGGGGCAUUCAGUGCCGGAGAGAAGUUGUUAAGUCUGCUACUUGGGGAGUACGUCCGCAAGGAUGAAACUUAAAGGGAUUGGCGGGGGAGCACCGCAACGGGAGGAGCGUGCGGUUUAAUUGGAUUCAACACCGUAAACUCACCAGGGAAGACUGUUACAUGAAGGCCGAGAUGAAGACUCUGCUAGAUUUUCAGAGAGGAGGUGCAUGGCGUCAGUGACU
rnacentral:rRNA from 1 species